rnacentral:misc_RNA from 2 species
CCACCCCUCAGGCCCUGCCUGGUGCUGGAGACCUGCGCGGCCGCAGUCUCCCAAAGCCAGCGGCGGGCGUGCCGUGGCCCCGGGCGUAGUAUGCUUUCCGCACUCGCCCCGGGCGCCCGGCGCGUACCGGCCGUCAAAACACCCCCCUUUGUAC